GAAGAUGUUGUGUAGGAACAGAACUGUACAGAUUAGAAAUAUGAUUACUGAUAUUUUCCAAAGAAAAACUAUUAAUAUAUAGAAGAGGAAAGAAAGAGGCAAUUUGAAAUUUAAAAAUGGUAGGCUUAUUAAGGAUGAGAUACAGAGAAAAACAGUAAUGCAGAACUACAUUCUCUUAAAUUGUCAAAAUUAAACGCUACCAAUCUUGGUCUCGUUUCAAACUUGAAUAACAAAAAGUCUAAAAAUAUAAAAACUAUAAGAACAGAUCAGCUAAGUCCAGUUAUAAAAUUAAAUGAUACAGGAAAGCUAUCAUUUUAGGAAAGUGUUGUUUUGGGGUGUGUAAACUCGUGAGGUUACAUGUUUCUGGUGAAUCUGUGCUUGCUGCAGCAAAAAUUUAUUAAUCGUUUGUGAUAUAAUUCACAAGAUGUCUAUUUUAACCUGUGGGUUGUGGAAUUUGUUUUGUCUGACCAAGAUAUAAUGAAUACCACUAGUGACAUGAGCAUGUCCAAUUAAUACUUAACUAGAAAUAAAUGCAUGCAGCAACCCCUUGCCUAUAUUUUCCAAACAUUGAUUUAACAUGAACUAUUAGCAAUUGGUCAGCACUGAACGCAGGCUCGCGUUGUGUCAAGUGUUGUCAAGGCAACAUAAUGUCACAUAUUUUAAAUUUUUUUGAGUAAUUUUGCAAGUGUUCAUACCACAGAAUCUACCAUACAUAAUUUUAAACAAAUAGAUAGGUGAAGUAAUUCAAACAAAAUGAUUUUGAACUUUAUUACUCUACUCUGUCGAACGCCUAUUCUACUCGUAAAGGGGAGAGCUCUGGUGCUUAAUGGGUUAAAUAAGAUCGUAUAGUUAUAUGUAUAUCAUGUAUUAUGUUUUUAUGUAGUCUGCCUGAAUCACUUGUACCAGGCUAUGGAAAUUCAUGUUUCCAAUUUUGUAUUUAUUUUUCUUAUGAUACAGUAUACUGUAAAUUUGAAUAAUAUUUGUGUGCUUUUAGUGAGCUUAUUUUUAGGAGAGUUUGUUGCGAGGCAGCAUAUAUUUUGAUUUUUCAAAAUAUUACUGUAUAUUGGUAUGUUAUACUUAAUAUUAGAAUGUUAGGGUUUGGAAUCCAAGUGAGAAUAUAUACAUUUUAAGACCUAACCAGGAACGACUGCGAAAAAUGCAGCACAAGGUCCUCUGGUAGGAAUCAAACCUACGGCCCUGUGAUUCCGGUGCAGCGCUCUAACCAACUGAGCUACAGAGGCCAGCCGUUAAGCUGUAACCGUAAGUUCAUGUAUAUAUAGGUAAUCAGGUUUGCGGGUUGUGAUAAGGUGGACUUCAUGACUUAGAUUCUGCACUUCACUUGGUGGAAUUAAUAUUAGAAUGAAUCCAAGUGAGAAUAUAUACAUUUUAAGACCUAACCAGGAACAACUGCAAAAAAUGCAGCACAAGGUCCUCUGGUAGGAAUCAAACCUACAGCCCUGCGAUUCCGGUGCAGCGCUCUGAGCUACAGAGGCCAGCUGUUAAGCUGUAACCAUAAGUUCAUGUAUAUAUAGGUAAUCGGGUGUGCGAGUUGUGAUAAGGUGGACUUCAUCAUGAUUCUAAUAUUAAUUCCACCAAGUGAAGUGCAGAAUCUAAGUCAUGUUAUACGUAAUGCUUUUGGAAGAGUUAUAGGGGUCGGGUGUGAUAUACUUUUUCAGGUAUUUUGUGUCUGAUGUAUGUAAGAGCUUUAUUAUUGGGUUUCUUGGUGAGACCUUAUAUCUUAUGUGUCCUAUAACCCCCUGUAAUUGCGGAUUAUUGCAUACAUUCUAAUUGGUUUUUUUUUUGUAGGAGUCUGAAGAUGCAAAUGAUACAAUUUCAAACUUAUCACAACCCAUAUUGUGGUCGUUGGCAUCGAACUUGCUAGAAUACGACUAGAAACUGUCAAUCAUACGUUAUCGAGGGAAAGGAUGAAAGUUCCAUAACAAGCAACAGUUGUUUUGAUGCAAUUAUCGCCUUAUUGGCAAGUUUUUACAUCUUCAAUAUUGAGUACUGCCACACGAAGAGCAUCUUGUCUGCUUUGCAGACUAUAGUAGUGCAUGGGCAAGACAGAAAAUGGCAUAUACAACUGCCAGUGAGGGUCACAGCCCUCUUCAAUGACUUGUCAUGACUCAUGCAUGAGUAUUAGUACUACAGUAAUUUACACUUUUUGAGGGUUAUGUUGACAUAUGCUAACCCAAGUUAAUGUUAUUGAUGGAAUGUGUGUAUUGUCUCACAUCUCACCGAACUGUGGUAAUGUAUUAGAAAUUAUUCGUAUUGCGUUCAUGUUAACAACCGCGCCUGCUAUUGCUAUCACAAGUUGAUUGCUCUUUAAAAUUAGAAUUGUAAACUUUCGGAGCCAUAUGGCAUAUACAGUAUGUACGAAUCUUUUGAUGGUUCCCACAUUUCGGUGAGAUCCAUAAUACUGACUACUGUACAUGUAUAUUGUAAUUUUAGUUAUAGUAUUGUGUUUAUAAUACAGAAAUUGGAACAUUUAUCUCAACUUAUAUUGCAAUAAUUCAUUCCAAUCUUGGUCUGUUGGAGAAAUUGUAAUAAUUUAAUCAAGACCAAAUAAACCCCAAUAUUUUUGCCUGAUUCAUUAUAUACAUGUAGAAUACGUCUACAUGCAAGAGCGCAACCAAAUCCACAUGACUUUAAAUGCUAUAUAAAACGGCACCACCAAAAAGCUAUAUCAGCUCGAUCGGUUCUAAAGCACC
rnacentral:lncRNA from 1 species